rnacentral:rRNA from 1 species
UACGAAGGGGGCUAGCGUUGCUCGGAAUUACUGGGCGUAAAGCGCACGUAGGCGGCUUUCUAAGUCGGGGGUGAAAUCCUGGAGCUCAACUCCAGAACUGCCUUCGAUACUGGAGAGCUCGAGUCCGGGAGAGGUGAGUGGAACUGCGAGUGUAGAGGUGAAAUUCGUAGAUAUUCGCAAGAACACCAGUGGCGAAGGCGGCUUUCUGGUCUGCUCUUGACGCUGAGGCGCGAAAGCUAGGGUAGCAAACGGG